UGACAGGCAUUCACAAACAGCACACAGUGACUUGUUCUAGAAAACAUUUGUGUUCUCAAGGGCUCAGAGGUGUGUCCAGGGCUCCAAAUCCAUCCUGCAGCGGGAGAUGCAGGGCUGAGGAGAUGGGACACACCCCGGUUUGCGCAGUGAAAAGGAGCCCUCUGUGCCCAUGCCCUGCACUCUGGGGACAGCAGAGCCCAGGUGACUCCUCACACUUGUGGGUGUUCUGAAGACCUUUCCAGAAAUGCCUCCUUUACUCCCAGGGCUGGGAUUUCUCCUUCUGCUCGGGUGGCAAGGAACUGCUGGAGCUGCUGCUGGGACAU